CUACGGGUCGCUCCAGUUAAGGAUCUUUUGCAAUGCGCGCAAGCGUGACAAAGCGAGCCAGAGUGAUUUUCAAUAAUUGAGAAUCUUUUGCCAAAUGUAAAAAGUUUGGCGAAUAAGGACUGGGAAAGAUUGGUGCCAGCCGCCGCGGUAAUACCAACAGUUCAAGUUGCAGCCACAUUUAUUGGGUCUAAAACAUCCGUAGCUUGUUUCGCAAGUUUCUUGUGAAACCUUAUACCUUAAGUAUGAGACAUGCAAGAAAUACUACAUUGCUAGAGACCGGAAGGCGUGAGGAGUACGAAUAGGGUAGCAGUUAAAUGCUCUGAUCCUAUUUGGACUAACGGUAGCGAAGGCACCUUACGAGUACGGUUCUGACAGUGAGGGAUGAAGGCUAGGGUCGCGAAAAGGAUUAGAUACCCUCGUAGUC
rnacentral:rRNA from 1 species